rnacentral:rRNA from 1 species
UUCCCCUUCGGGGGACAAAGUGACAGGUGGUGCAUGGUUGUCGUCAGCUCGUGUCGUGAGAUGUUGGGUUAAGUCCCGCAACGAGCGCAACCCUUAAGCUUAGUUGCCAUCAUUAAGUUGGGCACUCUAAGUUGACUGCCGGUGACAAACCGGAGGAAGGUGGGGAUGACGUCAAAUCAUCAUGCCCCUUAUGAUUUGGGCUACACACGUGCUACAAUGGACAAUACAAAGGGCAGCGAAACCGUGAGGUCAAGCAAAUCCCAUAAAGUUGUUCUCAGUUCGGAUUGUAGUCUGCAACUCGACUACAUGAAGCUGGAAUCGCUAGUAAUCGUAGAUCAGCAUGCUACGGUGAAUACGUUCCCGGGUCUUGUACACACCGCCCGUCACACCACGAGAGUUUGUAACACCCGAAGCCGGUGGAGCAACCUUUUAGGAGCUAGCCGUCGAAGGUGGGACAAAUGAUUGGGGUGAAGUCGUAACAAGGUAGCCGUAUCGGAAGGUGCGGCUGGAUCACCUCCUUUCUAAGGA